rnacentral:rRNA from 1 species
UACAGAGGUCUCAAGCGUUGUUCGGAUUCAUUGGGCGUAAAGGGUGCGUAGGCGGCGCGGUAAGUCGGGUGUGAAAUCUCGGGGCUUAACUCCGAAACUGCAUUCGAUACUGCCGUGCUUGAGGACUGGAGAGGAGACUGGAAUUUACGGUGUAGCGGUGAAAUGCGUAGAUAUCAUAAGGAAGACCAGUGGCGAAGGCGGGUCUCUGGACAGUUCCUGACGCUGAGGCACGAAGGCCAGGGGAGCAAACGGG